AUUGAACGCUGGCGGCAGGCUUAACACAUGCAAGUCGAGCGGUAGCACAGGGGAUCUUGCUCCCUGGGUGACGAGCGGCGGACGGGUUAGUAAUGUCUGGGAAACUGCCUGAUGGAGGGGGAUAACUACUGGAAACUGUAGCUAAUACCGCAUAACGUCGCAAGACCAAAGAGGUUGACCUUCGGCCCUCUUGCCAUCAGAUGUGCCCAGAUGGGAUUAGCUAGUAGGUGGGGUAAUGGCUCACCUAGGCGACGAUCCCUAGCUGGUCUGAGAGGAUGACCAGCCACACUGGAACUGAGACACGGUCCAGACUCCUACGGGAGGCAGCAGUGGGGAAUAUUGCACAAUGGGCGAAAGCCUGAUGCAGCCAUGCCGCGUGUGUGAAGAAGGCCUUCGGGUUGUAAAGCACUUUCAGCGAGGAGGAAGGUGGUGAGCUUAAUACGUUCAUCAAUUGACGUUACUCGCAGAAGAAGCACCGGCUAACUCCGUG
rnacentral:rRNA from 1 species